GGUUAAGCGACUAAGCGUACACGGUGGAUGCCCUGGCAGUCAGAGGCGAUGAAGGACGUGCUAAUCUGCGAAAAGCGCCGGCGAGGUGAUAUGAACCCUUGACCCGGCGAUGUCCGAA
rnacentral:rRNA from 1 species